rnacentral:rRNA from 1 species
CCUACGGGGGGCUGCAGUGAGGAAUAUUGGUCAAUGGACGAGAGUCUGAACCAGCCAAGUAGCGUGAAGGAUGACUGCCCUAUGGGUUGUAAACUUCUUUUAUAAAGGAAUAAAACGAGGCACGUGUGCCUUUUUGCAUGUACUUUAUGAAUAAGGAUCGGCUAACUCCGUGCCAGCAGCCGCGGUAAUACGGAGGAUCCGAGCGUUAUCCGGAUUUAUUGGGUUUAAAGGGAGCGUAGAUGGGUUGUUAAGUCAGUUGUGAAAGUUUGCGGCUCAACCGUAAAAUUGCAAUUGAUACUGGCAGUCUUGAGUACAGUUGAGGUAGGCGGAAUUCGUGGUGUAGCGGUGAAAUGCUUAGAUAUCACGAAGAACCCCGAUUGCGAAGGCAGCUUACUAAACUGUGACUGACAUUGAUGCUCGAAAGCGCGGGUAUCGAACAGGAUUAGAUACCCGAGUAGUC